GGCGGCCUACGGGGCGCAGCAGUAGGGAAUCUUCCACAAUGGACGAAAGUCUGAUGGAGCAACGCCGCGUGAGUGAAGAAGGGUUUCGGCUCGUAAAGCUCUGUUGGUAGUGAAGAAAGAUAGAGGUAGUAACUGGCCUUUAUUUUACGGUAAUUACUUAGAAAGUCACGGCUAACUACCUGCCAGCAGCCGCGGUAAUACGUAGGUGGCAAGCGUUGUCCGGAUUUAUUGGGCGUAAAACGAG
rnacentral:rRNA from 1 species